rnacentral:rRNA from 1 species
GACGAACGCUGGCGGCGUGCUUAACACAUGCAAGUCGAACGAAAAGGCCCGGCUUUUGUGGGUUGCUCGAGAGGGGAAGGGGGGAGAAAAACGUGAGUAACCUCCCCUUAACUUUGGGAUAACUUCUGGAAACUGGGGCUAUAACCGGGUAGAAUCUCCUGCUGCGUGUGGGGGGUUGGAAAAUUUCGGCGGUUGGGGCUGGACUCGCGGCUUAUGAGCUGCUUGGGGGGGUAGUGGCUUACAAAGCCUUUGACGGGUAGCCGGCCUGAGAGGGUGACCGGCCACAUUGGGACUGAGAUACGGCCCAGACUCCUACGGGAGGCAGCAGUGGGGAAUAUUGCACAAUGGGCGGAAGCCUGAUGCAGCAACGCCGCGUGCGGGAUGACGGCCUUCGGGUUGUAAACCGCUUUCGCCUGUGACGAAGCGUGAGUGACGGUAAUGGGUAAAGAAGCACCGGCUAACUACGUG